UACGUAGGUGACAAGCGUUGUCCGGAUUUACUGGGCGUAAAGAGCGCGCAGGCGGUCGAUCGAGUCGAGUGUGAAAGCCCCCGGCUCAACUGGGGAGGGUCAUUCGAUACUGAUCGACUCGAAGGCAGGAGAGGGUAGUGGAAUUCCCGGUGUAGUGGUGAAAUGCGUAGAUAUCGGGAGGAACACCAGUGGCGAAGGCGACUACCUGGCCUGUUCUUGACGCUGAGGCGCGAAAGCUAGGGGAGCAAACGGG
rnacentral:rRNA from 1 species